GGCCUGGGGAUGCAGGCGCGGGCGGCCGGAGGAAGGCGGGUGCAGGGCAAGCGGGAGGAGAGGGCCCGCGCCGCGCGGCUGGGCGACCUGGGGCGCAGACAGCAGCUUCGGGACGCACUCACCGCCACCCUUCCCUCCGCCCGGACUGACGGCCCCAGCUCUCUUUUUAAGAGCAGGGGACAGGUGCGGGCUUUGUUGUUUUAACCGUUCAAAGGCAACUGUUUAGUGCAAGGUUUAAUAAACUUAGCGCGUUCGUGCGUCUCCAACAGCCAAGGGCAAACUUUCUUGCUGGCCCCAAUGCAGGUUAAGCCCGAGUGCUGCAGUCUAACAGCUUCCGUUUUAAAAAAGCCCCUGGGUACCUUAGGACGUAAGAUACGAUCGCUGAUUUUAAAAUAACCGAUUAGGGAUCCAGGUGGGAGCUUUGUCUCCACCACCAGGAGCAUCUCUCCUUCCACGCCCUCCAAAAAAAGUGACUCGACGAGAAGGCACUCCCUUCUCCUGAUCCUCUCCUUAAUGUCAGUCUGAGCGGGCACCGAGGCGGAGUGGGGAUAAGUCGCCCCAACCUUGAGAACACAGGAGCCAGAGACCUUCCUUUGUGCCUCCCCUCGGGUGUGAACUUUGUCGCGCGGUCCGUUCUCCUUUAAGAAAGUCGCGAUCUCUGAAUAUAACGCCUGCGGCAGCCGGCGGGACACUGGGAAGCCCAGGAGCCCACCCGCUUGGAUCCCCGCGCGUGUUGCGACCCAGGCGCGGGGCGAGCGCGUCCACACCAGCGGGCCGCGGCGAAAACCCGGGUCAGGGAGGGCGGGGGCUAAAGGGAGCAAAGGGCUGGGAGCAAAGGGGCUGGGGCCGGGGAGCCGGGCGCGGGGUGAGCGGGCUUUGCCGUUCAUUUCCAUAAGAAAGCUGAAAUCUCUGCUGGAGGGUGGAUUUCUCGCCCCUACCGCCCUCCCCCUAGACCCGGUUUUCUGCAAGAAGCGGGCUUGGGAGCUCAGAGCCCUACGUGUGCGCGCUGGUCUUUGAUGGUAUUGAUAAAAUGUGGUUUCAAAUGUUGCCCCGACUGAGGCCGGUUUCCUGUCUGCGUGCGGAGUGGAAGGACCGCGCCGGCACUCCACCCCCAAUAAAGGAGGUAAGAGGAUAGAAGAUAGAGGGGAUCUUUUCAAAAAGUACUCCAAUAGGUUUCCUAUAGUCGAUGCUGAAUUUCUUUCUUUCAACAAAGUUUAUUGCCAUUUCUGAUAAAUGACAGGGUCCACUUUUCUGGCGGGCAUCUAGUUCGGCAGUGUGUGGCUGCUGAUGGGGGUUCCAAAGUCUGAAUGCAGAAUUGGGGUGGGGAGGGUGUUUUCUCCCACCAGCAACUCUGGGACUGCUUAAGCCCUAGAGGAUUUUUAAGGAGCAAGUGUUAUAAACCUUCAGAUGGGGUAAAACUUACUGGGAUGGUUGGGAGGUAAAGAAGUGAGGGAUGGUGAACUCAGGGAACAAAGGAGACAUAAGGAACUUGGCUUAGGGUUUAAGUUUCCUUUUUUGCUCCUGGGUUGACAUGGUUUGGGCCUGUCAAAAGCUGAGUGACUGUUUGAAACAUAAAGGUUCCUGAGAGGAGUUUCUUGGGUUUAAAGGCUGCUGUGGUUGGGUCUCUUUAUUAAUGGAUUGUGGUGAGGAUUCCAUGGUAAGAAGAGAGGAUGGAGCAGCCUGCAGGGCCACCAGGAAGCAGGUGGGCAAAGCAGCCAGACCAUUUCCGUGUGCGUCGCCUCCCCUCAUUGCCCUUGGAUUCAACCCCCUCCUAUGGGCCUGUCAGGACACUGGGUGAGUUGGGACCCUGAAUUUCGGGUCUAUCUGCUUUGGGCCAUCUCCCCAGCACCUUUGUUCAUGGGUGGAAGACCACAGCAGCAUCACACAUCUUGUUCUGAUGUAUUUACCGGGCUGGUCUGGAAAUGCCCAGGCUGCAGGGUGGAAACCCGAGCUGCUUACGACAAGCAAACUCCCCUGAGAAGCCUGUAAAAGUUUGGACAGUUUCAGAGUGCUGGGUGGCCCCUUCUGUUGAUGUGAAGCACACGGUCAUCUCCUCCCAGUUCUAGCUUGUUAGAGUUAAUUGCCCUUCAGUGAGAGCAUCUCACACCUCAGCCAAUACCUCCGAGGAGGACUCCUCUAUAGGUGACAGGAGAGCGUGGAACCAUCUAGGACACCAGGAAGGUCCCCAAACCUCACCCGAAUGAAAUGGGCCUGGGAUGGUCUCCUUUCCUUUGAGGUACAUGUCUCUUCUGCCAGGCUCUGGCCAUGACCUACAGAAGACCCUUGAGUCCAGAGACUCAAACUACGCUCACUUCCUUGAGUGCUCAGGCAGCCAACCCCAGAAGCAGAUCUUCACAGGACAGCCUCAUAGGUCCAUAGCAAAUUUGCUGCUGACCCUGAGAAUGCCGCGAAAGAGGGGGCCAGAGCUGGCAUGAAGCACCCCUUACCCUUAGCCAUUUGGGCCCUGCCUACCACUGACCCUGGCAGGGAGGGGAGAGGGGCAGGGCUUGGGAACAGGGCUAAGAAAAACCAUUGUUCCCGGCCUUGGGUCAGCUGCAGACAAGCCUGAGAGAACAACUCCUAGGAGGAGGAGUGAGGGUGGAGGGUGGAGCUGGCCCUCUGGUUCUCUCUGGCUGUAGCACCACGAGUUCUAGAGCUCUGUGCUAGAGAAAGAGAGAGAGAGAGAGAGAGAGAGAAAGGCUGGCGGUACUUGCUUUCUCAGGAAACCUGGUUGGGGAGUCUGGUCAGAGUUGGAGGCAGUUGUUCAAGGUGUCAGGUAGGCCGGGAGAAGGAGUUCCAUCUGUUCCCUGCACCCCAGUAAAUACAGAGAGAUUCUGUUCCUUCAAAAGAAAUGUUAGAGCUUUAGACUUUUCCCAGCCAGAAACCCACCUAGUUUCCUCAAGGUUGCUUGUUAGCUAUAUCCCAUCCUGCCUCUUUUCCCCUUUCUUUGUGGCCUCCGGUUGCAUUUUAGGGGGCUUUAUAUAAUGCUGCUCGUGUCAGCAAGCUUCCCUGUCUCCAGCCGCACCCCAUCUCCCUGUAUGGAAUUGUAGUCGGAAACCAAACGCGCACACACACAAAUUCUCGUUAAAAUUUUCUGCUAUUCUUCCUGACUGGAAGAGUUGACAAGACAUAGACAUUAAGUUGCAUAAAAUACAGUGGACUGAUCAGCCAGAAUGCAUCUCAUUUGCACUUGUACGGAGUUGGGGUAGGAGCUGGUGUCACUCACGGCCUCCAGUCCUCUCUGCCGUGCUGGGCUGCCUGGCUGGAAUUUUCUAGCAGGCCCCACUGUGGAGGCCAUUUGUGAGGUUGGAGCCUUCCCCCCCAGCCCAGGCCAUUCAAGGUGGGGGUGGGGGGUGGAAUUGGGGAGGGCAGAGGCCUCUGGAGGCCUGGCCCGAGGGCUUGGGCCAGCUUGGGGAGACCUUCCUCUCUGGGACGCUCAGACAGCUGGAUGCCCCAGGUCUGCAGUGAUUCCAAGGGGCUCCCUCUGGCUUGAAUGAAAGGGGACACCAUGAAGGAGAGGAAUGGUCACUGAGCACAUUUUCUACCCACUUCUACCCAUCUCCCUAAGUUUUGUUCUCAUUCCCUGCUUUGUCCCCAGUGGAGGGGUCCCUGGGCCUGAUAGUUUCCUUUACCUCCUCCUCCUCCUGACCUCAGACAGAGCCUGAGGGCUUCUCUCUUUUCUCCUGUCUCCCUGAGCUCCACUCCUGGGCUCCAGAGUUCCAGAAAAAAAAAAUGCCUUUCUCAUCAGCUCCCAGAGGCACCUGGCAUCUGCUCAGAGAGCCUCAGGAUCCCAGCGGGGGCACUAGAGGAAGUUUGGGGUUUUUAUGCUGUUCCCCCUCACCACUCACAAUCACCUUCCAGCUUUGGUGUCCACUUUUCCUGCCCCAGAUGCUGAGGCUUCAGAUUCCUAUCUACCAAUUCGUACCCAGCACUUGGGUGCUGGGUAACUGCCAGGGUAUAUUGGAGGCUGGAGUCCUGGAGGCCUUAGUGGUAGAAGGUCCAGAGGAAAUGGGGUCUUCUGGGAGCCUCAGUGGGGGUGGUGGGAGGGCCUGAGUGCCCCAGCUUAGCCUCCGUGAGCACCCCCAAAAGCGUGUCCCAGGUGCUUCUUUUCCACCGUGUCCUGCUUGCUUUCCUUGCAAAGGUCAUGGGACUCGGACUUCUGCCAAUCCUAGGAGCUCCCCUUUUCUCCAGUGCUUUUCUUGCCCAGCAGGGAGGCUUCUGGACUGCUUCUGGGCCUCCACUGCCAAUCCUGGACUUCGGCCUGUGACCUUCCCGGAGGGGUGGGGAGCCAAGGGCCAGGGAUGUUGCCCAACAAGACCACCGCCUCACAGGGCCGCUGGACCACAGACGAGGGCCUUCGGACCCAGGCGCAGCCAGCCACCCACCCGUGCCCGCGGUGGCCUGCAGCAGCGCAGGGCCCAGGGCUGUGGAGCUGGGCAGCCAGCCCUGCACCAUUGACAGCCGGGGCACGUCUGCAGCGCCCCAGGGAACAAUCAAUGGACUCUAUGUCCCGGGAGCUGGGGACACGCCUGUAAGGCCUUUCUGCCUGCACAGUCAUUGGGAGAAAAAUCAAAUGUAAGCUCCUCUCCCUGCAGAAGGUUCUGUAUGUUAUGUAAUGCUCACAUGGGGUUCCUCAGGUUACCAUUUUGCUGCAAAUCAGCCGCCACACGGUUUUCUGGCCCUGAGAUGGGGGUGAGAUCGUCAGGGUGAUGCUAAUGUGGGUGGGGGCCUUCAUUCCCUGGAGACUUUUACUCCCCUCCUUGAAGCCCAGGAACAAGGCCCAGGAACAAAGUGGGUAAGUAACUGAUCUGCCUUUUGGUCUCUCCCCUCCCUUUUACCCCUUCACUUGCAGGUCCUCCUCUUUGAUAAAUAGAGGAAAGCCUGUGGGAUUGAGGUACCUAUGUAAAUAGUGAUGACCUCGGUGCCCCUUCUCAUUGAAAAGCAGAAAGUCCAUUGCAGGUGCUGGCUGCUCAGUGGCCCCACUUCCACUCGCCCAGACUUCACUGGACCCAAGACCCCUUACUUUGCCUCCUUCCCUUGUUGAAAACAUCCAGGACAACUAUUAAAUAGUUCUCAGAAGAGUUAAAGAUAUGUCUCGGGGUCAAAACAUUUUUAAAGCCCUGGAUGAAUCUUCAAGGAAUACAAUCAGUAGGACGGCCUGAGCAAGUUUGAAAGACUGCCCCCCACCACCUCACCGCCCUCCAAAAUGCUCGUUAAAAAUACUUUGUUAUUGUGUUCCUUAAUGGGUUUUUCCACAUUGUAACCUACAGAUUAUCAAGACCAAGCUACUAAAACAUUAAUUUCCCUUUUGUUAGUUUCUGGGUGAUACUACACUUUCUGAUUAGACUUACUGAAUUUAUUUUUAAAAACUUGGCUGGGAGAGUUUUCAACCUUGGAAGUGUGAGUGAAACAUAGAUGCUCUCCCUCCCAGAUUCCUACGGGGGUUGGGGGAGUGGGACAAACCCUGACUCACACCUCCAAGUUGGCCUGUCUCAACCUGGGCAGAGCGAGGGUAGCAGGUUUUGUCACCUUUUGUGACAGUGCUGGAACAGAGUGAGCUCUUUGAAAUGAAUAUCUAUUCUAUUUCAGUGUGCAGUGUUCUGGCCGACUAAAUGGGCUUGCCUUCUGCGGAGAGGCAGUCCUGGAGGACAUAACUCAGGAGCCAUCUCCCAGGAAGCUCUUCAUCAGAACAUCCCUUGUCCUUCUGUAUUUGUUUUUUUUUUUUGCUUUUGUAUUAAAAAGCUGUUUUGGGGGCCGCCUGGGUGGC